rfam:Ricinus communis cultivar Hale ctg_1100012285338, whole genome shotgun sequence.
AGUCCAUGGUGUGGGCAUCAUCUAAGUAGAUCCUUGUAUCUCUCCCAAGUGUCGUACAUUGACUCGUCAUCAAACUGCACAAAAGAUGAUAUGUCAUUUCUAAGUUU